CCUACGGGCGGCAGCAGUGGGGAAUAUUGGGCAAUGGGCGCAAGCCUGACCCAGCAACGCCGCGUGAAGGAAGAAGGCUUUCGGGUUGUAAACUUCUUUUCUCAGGGACGAAGCAAGAGACGGUACCUGAGGAAUAAGCCACGGCUAACUACGUGCCAGCAGCCGCGGUAAUACGUAGGUGGCAAGCGGUAUCCGGAUUUACUGGGUGUAAAGGGCGGGUAGGCGGGACUGCAAGUUAGCUGUGAAAACCACGGGCUCAACCUGUGGACUGCAUUUGAUACUGUAGUUCUUGAGUACUGGAGAGGCAGACGGAAUUCCUAGUGUAGCGGUGAAAUGCGUAGAUAUUAGGAGGAACACCAGUGGCGAAGGCGGUCUGCUGGACAGCAACUGACGCUGAGGCGCGAAAGCGUGGGGAGCAAACAGGAUUAGAUACCCGAGUAGUC
rnacentral:rRNA from 1 species